CAACGCGAAAAACCUUACCUACCCUUGACAUGUCUAGAAGUUACCAGAGAUGGUUUCGUGCUCGAAAGAGAACUAGAACACAGGUGCUGCAUGGCCGUCGUCAGCUCGUGUCGUGAGAUGUUGGGUUAAGUCCCGCAACGAGCGCAACCCUUAUCAUUAGUUGCUACGCAAGGGCACUCUAAUGAGACUGCCGGUGACAAACCGGAGGAAGGUGGGGAUGACGUCAGGUCAUCAUGGCCCUUAUGGGUAGGGCUACACACGUCAUACAAUGGCCGGUACAGAGGGCUGCCAACCCGCGAGGGGGAGCUAAUCUCAGAAAACCGGUCGUAGUCCGGAUCGCAGUCUGCAACUCGACUGC
rnacentral:rRNA from 1 species